AGGAAAUUGUUUUCAAAUAAUAAUAAAAAAAUAAAGACAAAACAGUAUAUAAGUCGAAUUCACGAAACCUACAAUCAUUAUAUUGCUGAACUUCAAGUGUAUCGUCAGAUAUUAUACGAGUACAGUUUAUAUUCGGAAAAUACAAAAUGAUUAAAUAUUUUUGUAUCGCGUUACUUGUAACAAUGUUUGUGGAAAACAGUGUACAAGGUGGAUGGGGAAAGGUAAAUUAUGCGAAUGAUAUGAGCCAGGUUAAAGAUUCAGAUUCAGAUUCAACACCGACUACUGAACCAUUCAUCCAUAGGAAAGCGUUCGACGGAGAUGACGUUCCCGAACCAGCUGAUGAUGAUAAUGGUGAUUUUAGUUCAAUUCAAAAAAAACGUAUUAAAAGAUCUCCACGUGAUUAUCCACGAUCCAACUAAUCAAGUCAAAAGAGAGAUGACAUAGAAUGGGAACAGCAUUAAUGUAAUUUUGUUUAUUUCUCGUCGCAAUAUUAUAUAAUAAAGCUUUUGAACAUUUUAA